GAUGAACGCUGGCGGCGUGCCUAAUACAUGCAAGUAGAACGCUGAAGCUUGGUGCUUGCACCGAGCGGAUGAGUUGCGAACGGGUGAGUAACGCGUAGGUAACCUGCCUCUUAGCGGGGGAUAACUAUUGGAAACGAUAGCUAAUACCGCAUAAGAGUCGAUAUCGCAUGAUAUUGAUUUGAAAGGUGCAAAUGCAUCACUAAGAGACGGACCUGCGUUGUGUUAGCUAGUUGGUGAGGUAACGGCUCAUCAAGGCGACGAUACGUAGCCGACCUGAGAGGGUGGUCGCCCACACGGGGAGUGGAACACGGACCAGAGUACUACGGGAGGGAGCAGUAGGGAAUCGUCGGCAAUGGGGGCAACCCUGACCGAGCAACGCCGCGUGAGUGAAGAAGGUGUUCGGAUCGUAAAGCUCUGUUGUAAGAGAAGAACGGGUGUGAGAGGGGAAAGUUCACACUGUGACGGUAACUUAACAGAAAGGGACGGUGAACUACGG
rnacentral:rRNA from 1 species